rnacentral:rRNA from 1 species
UGGGGAAUUUUGUACAAUGGGGGAAACCCUGAUCCAGCCAUCCCGCGUGUGCGAUGAAGGCCUUCGGGUUGUAAAGCACUUUUGGCAGGAAAGAAACGUCAUGGGUUAAUACCCCGUGAAACUGACGGUACCUGCAGAAUAAGCACCGGCUAACUACGUGCCAGCAGCCGCGGUAAUACGUAGGGUGCAAGCGUUAAUCGGAAUUACUGGGCGUAAAGCGUGCGCAGGCGGUUCGGAAAGAAAGAUGUGAAAUCCCAGAGCUCAACUUUGGAACUGCAUUUUUAACUACCGGGCUAGAGUGUGUCAGAGGGAGGUGGAAUUCCGCGUGUAGCAGUGAAAUGCGUAGAUAUGCGGAGGAACACCGAUGGCGAAGGCAGCCUCCUGGGAUAACACUGACGCUCAUGCACGAAAGCGUGGGUAGCAAACAGG